UGAAAGCCUGGGGUGCCCCGCGAGGGGAGCCCUUAGGCACAGGUGCUGCAUGGCCGUCGUCAGCUCGUGCCGUGAGGUGUUGGGUUAAGUCCCGCAACGAGCGCAACCCUUAUCAUUAGUUGCUACGCAAGGGCACUCUAAUGAGACUGCCGGUGACAACCGGAGGAAGUGGGGAUGACGUCAAGUCCUCAUGGCCCUUAUGGGUAGGGCUUCACACGUCAUACAAUGGUCGGUACAGAGGGUUGCCAAGCCGCGAGGUGGAGCCAAUCCCAGAAAGCCGAUCGUAGUCCGGAUUGUUCUCUGCAACUCGAGAGCAUGAAGUCGGAAUCGCUAGUAAUCGCGGAUCAGCAUGUCGCGGUGAAUACGUUCCCGGGUCUU
rnacentral:rRNA from 1 species